rnacentral:rRNA from 1 species
AGAUUGAACGCUGGCGGCAUGCCUAACACAUGCAAGUCGAACGGGAGUAGCAAUACUCUAGUGGCGGACGGGUGAGGAAUACGUAGGAAUUUGCCCUUAAGCGGGGGAUAACCCGGGGAAACCCGGAUUAAUACCGCAUGACCUCGAAAGAGCGAAAGUGGGGGAUCGACAAGACCUCACGCUUUGGAGAAGCCUACGUCGGAUUAGCGUAGUUGGUGAGGUAAUGGCUCACCAAGGCGACGACUCCGUAACUGGUCUGAGAGGAUGGAUCAGUCACACCGGAACUGAGACGACGGUCCCGGACGUCCGUACGGGACGGCGAGGCAGGU